CUGACACAGGGAGGUAGUGACAAGAAAUAACAAUACAGGGCAAUUGUCUUGUAAUUGGAAUGAUGGUGACGUAAAAUCUCACCAGAGUAACAAUUGGAGGGCAAGUCUGGUGCCAGCAGCCGCGGUAAUUCCAGCUCCAAUAGCGUAUAUUAAACUUGUUGCAGUUAAAAAGCUCGUAGUUGAAUUUCUGCGUUGCCCGACUCGGCUACUUGCCUUGUCUGGUUUCGCUUUUGGGGUUUUCCCCUUUUUACUUUGAGAAAAUUAGAGUGUUUCAAGCAGACUUGUGUCUUGAAUACUUCAGCAUGGAAUAAUAAAGUAGGACUUUGGUUCUAUUUUGUUGGUUUGUGAACCUUAGUAAUGGUUAAUAGGAACGGUUGGGGGCAUUCGUAUUUAAC
rnacentral:rRNA from 1 species